UUUCCGUAGGUGAACCUGCGGAAGGAUCAUUAAAGUUAUAGUCUCACGGCCCUCUGGGCUGGGGUAUUCUAUACCACCCUUUGUUUAUUACACCUUUGUUGCUUUGGCAGGCCUCCCCUCCGUCUGCUGGCUCUGGCCGGCUCGCGUCUGCUAGAGGACCUCAACUCUGUUUGUAUUUGCAGUCUGGGUACUCUUUAAUAGUGAAAACUUUCAACAACGAACCUCUUGGAUCUGGCCUCGAUGAAGAACGCAGCACAUCGGAAGAGCACACGUCCGAAC
rnacentral:misc_RNA from 1 species